GAGAGAGAGUUCAAGAGAGCGUGAAACCGUUGGGAGGGAAGCUCGGGGUGCCGAGGCGGUCCGGCCCUUCGGAGUUCAGUCGGCGUCGGUGAGGUGGUCGCUCGUCGUGGGGCGUCGACCCUUGGCCGUGCCGGCGCACUCUCCGUCGGGUCUCGGUGACCGUCAGCGAGGAGAGGGUCCGCUUCUGUUGGCGCCCGUCGAGGUGGUGUCGGUCGUCGCCCCGGCGGCGGUCGAUCGUUAAGCUCUUCGGGCGUUCGAGCGUGACGCCUUCUCUUGGUGUGUUCCGACGGCUAUUGUCGUCUCUGUUGGUUGUAGGUGCGGUGCUCCCUCGUGGGGCAGCGGGCCGCCGUCUGUUACUUCGCUCCGGUCUGGGAAGGUGUCUCCGCGCCGGCAGUUCCCCGUGGACUGACGUCGUGGCUGGGCCUCUCUGCCGCGGGUGUCGGGCCGUCGGCAGGUCGCGUCCGCCGCGCCAAGGUCGCUGACAUUGAUUCGGUCCCCCGUGCCCCGUCUG
rnacentral:rRNA from 1 species